GCCGGUGUGGCGGAACGGCAGACGCACGGGACUUAAAAUCCCGAGAUGGCAACAUCGUGUGGGUUCGAAACCCACCACCGGCACCA
rnacentral:tRNA from 1 species